rnacentral:rRNA from 1 species
CCUACGGGAGGCAGCAGUGGGGAAUAUUGGACAAUGGGGGGAACCCUGAUCCAGCGACGCCGCGUGAGUGAAGAAGUAUUUCGGUAUGUAAAGCUCUAUCAGCAGGGAAGAAAGAAAUGACGGUACCUGACUAAGAAGCCCCGGCUAACUACGUUCCAGCAGCCGCGGGAAUACGUAGGGGGCAAGCGUUAUCCGGAUUUACUGGGUGUAAAGGGAGCGUAGACGGCGAUGCAAGUCUGAAGUGAAAGGCGGGGGCCCAACCCCCGGACUGCUUUGGAAACUGUAUGGCUGGAGUGCAGGAGAGGUAAGUGGAAGUCCUAGUGUAGCGGUGAGAUGCGUAGAUAUUAGGAGGAACACCAGUGGCGAAGGCGGCUUACUGGACUGUAACUGACGUUGAGGCUCGAAAGCGUGGGGAGCAAACAGGAUUAGAUACCCGAGUAGUC